rnacentral:tRNA from 1 species
UCUUCCGUGGCGCAAUUGGCUAGCGCGUUCGACUGUUAAGAUUUCGAAAGAAAUCGGCUAUCGAGAGGUUGACAGUUCAAGCCUGUCCGGGAGAG